GACUUCCAUACCCGCCUACAAUACUGAAACCCAACCCAUCUGGCCCUCGAUCCAGAGUGAUGGUUUUGUACUGUGGAGACUUAAUUUUUAUAUGUGACUAUUGCAAAUGAGGAUAAAGCACAGAGACAGCCAUGGAAGCAAUCUGCCUAUGCAAGGGAAGACUGGGCGUACACUUCCUGAACUAGAGGCCUACCACCAUGCCAUGUGGAAAACUGCUUUUAAACUGAGAAUACUUGCAAUAGCAGUUAGUAAUAUUAUGGUAAGGAGGAGAUGCUACUGUUGAAAAAAACACACAGAGAGAAAACCAGUGAGUGAUUUACAUGACACAAGCUGAAUGUCUUCAAAAAACAACUAUUAAGAAACCAUCUAAACCA